UUUUGCAUUCGGCUUACCAUCAACAAUGGCAUUACCCACCGCGUGCAACAAGUGAGUUUUACCUAGGCCGGUGCCACCGUA
rnacentral:antisense_RNA from 1 species